GUGUCAGCCGCCGCGGUAAUACGGAGGAUGCAAGCGUUAUCCGGAAUUACUGGGCGUAAAGCGCGCGUAGGCGGUUUGCCAAGUCAGAGGUGAAAGCCCGGGGCUUAACCUCGGAAUUGCCUUUGAGACUGGCAGGCUUGAGUACGGGAGAGGUAAGUGGAAUUCCGAGUGUAGAGGUGAAAUUCGUAGAUAUUCGGAAGAACACCAGUGGCGAAGGCGGCUUACUGGACCGUUACUGACGCUGAGGCGCGAAAGCGUGGGGAGCAAACAGGAUUAGAUACCCUGGUAGUCCACGCCGUAAACGAUGGGUGCUAGAUGUUGGGGGCCUUUGGCUUCCGGUGUCGCAGCUAACGCGUUAAGCACCCCGCCUGGGGAGUACGGCCGCAAGGUUAAAACUUAAAGGAAUUGGCGGGG
rnacentral:rRNA from 1 species